rnacentral:rRNA from 1 species
AGUGAACGCUGGCGGUAGGCCUAACACAUGCAAGUCGAACGGCAGCACAGUAAGAGCUUGCUCUUACGGGUGGCGAGUGGCGGACGGGUGAGGGAUACAUCGGAAUCUACUUUUUCGUGGGGGAUAACGUAGGGAAACUUACGCUAAUACCGCAUACGACCUACGGGUGAAAGCAGGGGAUCUUCGGACCUUGCGCGAUUGAAUGAGCCGAUGUCGGAUUAGCUAGUUGGCGGGGUAAAGGCCCACCAAGGCGACGAUCCGUAGCUGGUCUGAGAGGAUGAUGAGCCACACUGGAACUGAGACGCGGCCCAGGCUCCGACGGGAGGCAGCAGUGGGGAAUAGUGGACAAUGGGCGCAAGACUGAUCCAGCCAUAGCGCGUGGGUGAAGAAGGCCUUCGGGUUGUAAAGCCGUUUUGUUGGGAAAGAAAAGCAGCAGGUUAAAACACCGCUGUUCGGACGGUACCCAAAGAAUAGGCACCGGCUACCUCCGU